CACUACUUUGAAAUACGAAAAAGAUCCAAACCUAAAAUGCAAAGGUCAUCUUAUUCAAAAUCUCAAUCAUCAGAUCCCCUCUCUCCCACUUCACACCUCGGAACGCGCUGUUCUUAUAGAGAGAAAGGCGCUUUCCCAUCUUCUUAACCCAAAAUGAAGGGGUACCCCCAAUUAGAAAAUGGAUUCCUAUUUGAAGAGUGCCUAACCGCAUGGAUAAGCUCACAUUAACCCGUCAAUUUGGAUCCAAUUCGGGAUUUUUCUUGGGAAGUUUCGAGAAGAAAUUGGAAUGGAAUAAAUAAAGAAUAAAGCAAAAAAAAAUAAGUCGAAGAUAGAAGAGCCCAGAUUCCAAAUGAAGAAACGGAAACUCGAAAAGGAUCCUUCUGAUUCUCAAAGAAUGAGGGGCAAGGGGAUU
rnacentral:lncRNA from 1 species